AGGAUAAACGCUGGCGGCGUGCCUAAUGCAUGCAAGUCGAACGGUCCGCAAGGACAGUGGCAGACGGGUGAGUAACGCGUAAGUGACCUAUCCACGAGUGGGGAAUAACUGCCCGAAAGGGUAGCUAAUACCGCAUGAAGUCGUCGGUUGAAUGCCGGCAGACCAAAGGAGUAAUUCGCUUGUGGAGGGCUUGCGUCCGAUUAGCUUGUUGGUGGGUAACGCCUACCAAGGCGAUGAUCGGUAGCUGGUCUGAGAGGACGAUCAGCCACACGGGGACUGAGACACGGCCCCGACUCCUACGGGAGGCAGCAGCAAGGAAUUUGCGCAAUGGACGAAAGUCUGACGCAGCAACGCCGCGUGAGGGAAGAAGGCCUUCGGGUUGUAAACCUCUUUUCUCGGGGAAGAUAAUGACGGUACCCGAGGAAUAAGUCUCGGCUAACUACGUGCCAGCAAGCCGC
rnacentral:rRNA from 1 species